GAUGAACGCUGGCGGCGUGCCUAAUACAUGCAAGUCGAGCGAACGGACGAGAAGCUUGCUUCUCUGAUGUUAGCGGCGGACGGGUGAGUAACACGUGGAUAACCUACCUAUAAGACUGGGAUAACUUCGGGAAACCGGAGCUAAUACCGGAUAAUAUUUUGAACCGCAUGGUUCAAAAGUGAAAGACGGUCUUGCUGUCACUUAUAGAUGGAUCCGCGCUGCAUUAGCUAGUUGGUAAGGUAACGGCUUACCAAGGCAACGAUGCAUAGCCGACCUGAGAGGGUGAUCGGCCACACUGGAACUGAGACACGGUCCAGACUCCUACGGGAGGCAGCAGUAGGGAAUCUUCCGCAAUGGGCGAAAGCCUGACGGAGCAACGCCGCGUGAGUGAUGAAGGUCUUCGGAUCGUAAAACUCUGUUAUUAGGGAAGAACAUAUGUGUAAGUAACUGUGCACAUCUUGAAGGUACCUAAUCAGAAAGCCACGGCUAACUACGU
rnacentral:rRNA from 1 species